GAUGAACGCUGGCGGCGUGCCUAAUACAUGCAAGUCGAGCGAACGGACGAGAAGCUUGCUUCUCUGAUGUUAGCGGCGGACGGGUGAGUAACACGUGGAUAACCUACCUAUAAGACUGGGAUAACUUCGGGAAACCGGAGCUAAUACCGGAUGAUAUUUUGAACCGCAUGGUUCAAAAGUGAAAGACGGUCUUGCUGUCACUUAUAGAUGGAUCCGCGCUGCAUUAGCUAGUUGGUAAGGUAACGGCUUACCAAGGCAACGAUGCAUAGCCGACCUGAGGGGGGGGCAGGCCCAAGUGGAAGUGAGCCAGCGUCCGGCCCCCGACGGGGGGAAGCAGGAGGGAUUCUCCCGAAAGGGGCGAAAGCCUGAGGGGGCACCGCCGGGGGAGUAAUGAAGUUUUUGGGAUCGUAAACCUUUUUUAUAGGGAAAAAAAAUAUGUGUAAGAAAGUGUGCACUUCUGGAGGUGACCUAAUAAGAAAGCCCCGGCUAACUCCGGG
rnacentral:rRNA from 1 species